CAAUGGGGGGACCCUGNAUGCAGCGACGCCGCGCUGAGUGAAGAAGUAUUUCGGUAUGUAAAGCUCUAUCAGCAGGGNAAGAAAAUGACGGUACCUGNACUAAGAAGCCCCGGCUAACUACGUGCCAGCAGCCGCGGUAAUACGUAGGGGGCAAGCGUUAUCCGGAUUUACUGGGUGUAAAGGGAGCGUAGACGGUAAAGCAAGUCUGAAGUGAAAGCCCGGGGCUCAACCCCGGGACUGCUUUGGAAACUGUCUGGCUCGAGUGCCGGAGAGGUAAGCGGAAUUCCUAGUGUAGCGGUGAAAUGCGUAGAUAUUAGGAGGAACACCAGUGGCGAAGGCGGCUUACUGGACGGCAACUGACGUUGAGGCUCGAAAGCGUGGGGAGCAAACAGGAUUAGAUACCCUGGUAGUCCAAGGGCGAAUUC
rnacentral:rRNA from 1 species